rnacentral:lncRNA from 1 species
AUGAUCCUGGGGGCUGUGGUGGUCCUGGAGUCCGGGUGGGGGUCCUUGGGGUCUCUGAUCCGCGGGGGGGGGAUCCCAGGGUCUGGUCAGGGGUCCCUGGGGUCUAUGAUGCACGGGGAGGAGUUCCGAGGUCCCCAUUCAGGGUGGGGGUGCUCGUCCCCAGGGGUCGGACAGGGGUCCCGGAGGGGAUGGGGGUGCGCGUGCGGGGCGGGAAUCGGGGGCGCGUGCAGGCGAGGCUGGGGCGCGUGCAGGAGGGGCGGGGGCGCGCUCGGGGGGGGGUGGGAGUCGGGGGCGCGUGCUCGCUCGAGACGGGGGCGCGCGCAAGAGGGGCGGGGGCGCGCGGGGAGUCGGAGGCGCGCGUGGAGAGUCGGGGACGCGCGCGAGGUGGGAAUCAGGGGCGUGCGCAGUGGAGCGGGGGCGCGCUCGGGGCGGGAGUUGGGGCGCGCUCUGGGGAGUCGGGGACGCGCUCUGGAGAGUCGGGGACGCGUGGGGGCGGGGGCGUGCUCGGGGCGGGAGUCGGGGUUGUGCGCGGGGCGGGGGCGCGCGCGGGGCGGGAGUCGGGGGCUCCGGCAGGCGAGGCUGGGGCGCGGGCGCACUCGGCAGGGGGGGGGGGAGUCGGGGGCGCGCGCGCGAGACGGGGGCGCGCGCAGGAGGGGCUGGGGAACACAGGAGAGUCGGGGGCGCGCGCGCGGGGCUGGAGUCGGGGCGCGCGCGGGACUCAGGGCGCGAGCAGGGGCGGGGGCGCGCUGGGGAGUCGGGGGCGCGCUCAGGGCGGGGAGCGUGGGCACGCGCGGGGGGGCGGGCCGUGGGCGCGCUCAGGGCGUGGGCGCGCUCGGGAGGGUCGGGGACGCUCGGGGAGCGGGGGCGCGAGCGCGGGGCAGGAGUCGGGGGCGCGCUGGGGCGUGGGCGCGCUCUGGGAGUCGGGGGCGCGCGCAGGGCGGGGGCGCGCUCUGGAGAGUCGGGGACGCGUGGGGGCGUGGGCGCGCUCGGGGCGGGAGUUGGGGGCGCGCGCAGGGCGGGGAUGCGCUCGGGGCGGGAGUCGGGGGCGCGCUCGGGGCGGGAGUCGGGGGCGCGCGCAGGGCGGGGGCGCGCGCGGGCGGGGCGCGCGCCGGGCGGGAGUCGGGGGCGCGCGUGGAGAGUCCGGGACGCGCGCGAGGUGGGAAUCAGGGGCGUGCGCAGUGGAGCGGGGGCGCGCUCGGGGCGGGAGUUGGGGGCGCGCUCUGGGGAGUCGGGGACGCGUGGGGGCGGGGGCUUGCUCGGGGCGGGAGUCGGGGUUGCGCGCGGGGCGGGGGCGCGCGGGGGCGGGAGUCGGGGGCGCGGGCAGGCGAGGCUGGGGCGCGGGCGCACUCGGCAGGGGGGUGGGAGUCGGGGGCGCGCGCGCGAGACGGGGGCGCGUGCAGGAGGGGCUGGGGAGCACGGGAGAGCCGGGGGCGCGCGCGCGGGGCUGGAGUCGGGGCGCGCGCGGGACUCAGGGCGCGAGCAGGGGCGGGGGCGCGCUGGGGAGUCGGGGGCGCGCUCAGGGCGGGGAGCGUGGGCGCGCGCGGGGGGGCGGGCCGUGGGCGUGCGCAGGGCGGGGGCGCGCUCUGGAGAGUCGGGACGCGUGGGGCGUGGGCGCGCUCGGGGCGGGAGUCGGGGGCGCGCGCAGGGCGGGGAUGCGCUCGGGGCGGGGAGUCGGGGGCGCGCUCGGGGCGGGAGUCCGGGGCGCGCGGGGGGGGGCGUGGGCGCGCUCGGGGCGGGAGUCGGGGGCGCGCGCGGGGCGGGGGCGCGCGCGGGCGUGGGCGCGCUCGGGCGGGAGUCGGGCGCGCGCGCAGGGCGGGGGCGCGCUCGGGAGGGUCGGGGACGCGCGGGGAGCGGGGGCGCGGGAGUCGGGGGCGCGCGGGGGCGUGGGCACGCUCGGGGCGGGAGUCGGGGGUGCGCGCAGGGCGGGGGCGCGCGCGGGGCGGGAGUCGGGGGCGCGCGCGGGGCGGGAGUCGGGGGCGCGCGGGGGCGUGGGCACGCUCGGGGCGGGAGUCGGGGGUGCGCGCAGGGCGGGGGCGCGCUCGGGGCGGGAGUCGGGGGUGCGCGCAGGGCGGGGCCGCGCGAAGGGCGGGAGUCGGGGGCGCGCGGGGGCGCGGGCGCGCGCGGGGCGGGAGGCGGGGGCGCGCGCGGGGCGGGAGUCGGGGGCGCGCGCGCGCGGGGCGGGGCGUGGGCGCGGCGCGGGGCGGGCCGGCGCGGGCGCGUUUCCGCCGUCGGGCCCGGGGCUCCGAGUCCGGCCGGCGGCGCGGAAGCGGCGGCGGCGGCGGCGGCGGCGGCGGCGGCGGCGGGGCAGCCAUGUCGCCUUUGUCCGCGGCGCGGGCGGCCCUGCGGGUGUACGCGGUGGGCGCGGCGCUGGUCGUGGCGCAGCUGCUGCGUCGCUGCGUGCGGGGCUUCGUGGAGCCAGUCUUCUCUCCACAACCGGAACGUGUUGCCAUAGUGACCGGAGGGACCGAUGGCAUUGGAUACUCGACCGCAAAGCAGCUGGCGAAGCUGGGCAUGCACGUCAUCAUAGCCGGAAAUAAUGACAGCAAAGCCCAGGACGUCGUGAGGAGGAUAAAAGAGGACACGCUCAACGACCAAGUGGAGUUUCUGUAUUGCGACCUGGCGUCCAUGAGGUCUAUCCGGGAGUUCGUCCAGACAUUCAAAAUGAAGAAGCUGCCCCUCCACGUCCUGGUGAAUAACGCCGGCGUGAUGAUGGUGCCCCAGAGGACCACGGACGACGGCUUUGAGGAGCACUUCGGCGUCAACUAUCUGGGGCACUUCCUGCUGACCAACCUCCUCCUGGACACCCUGCAGGAGUCGGGCGCCCCUGGCCGCAGCGCCCGGGUGGUGACCGUGUCCUCGGCCACGCACUACGUGGGGGAGCUGAACCUGGACGACCUCCAGAGCAGUACCAGCUACUCGGCGCACGCAGCCUAUGCGCAGAGCAAGCUGGCCCUGGUGCUGUUCACAUACCACCUGCAGGCGCUGCUGAGUGCCCGGGGCAUCCCCGUGACCGCCAGCGUGGCCGACCCCGGCGUGGUGGACACCGACCUCUACAGACACGUCUUCUGGGGCACCCGGCUCGUCAAGAAGCUCCUGGGCUGGUGGGUUUUCAAGACCCCAGAUGAGGGAGCCUGGACCUCCGUCUAUGCCGCAGUCACCCCAGCCCUGGAAGGUCUCGGUGGCCGCUAUCUCUACAACGAGAGGGAGACCCGGUCUCUGGAGGCCACGUACGACCCGGAGCUUCAGCGAGUAGCGGGCUGCCGGGAAGACUGUGGUCCGACCCAGGGAACAUCACGGUCUGUGCCGCCCUCACAGAUGAAUGGGGUGCAACAGAUUCGGUGUUGCGGGACCAGAAGGCGUUAGUGUAAACAAGCAGGAGACAAGGACGUGUGCAUUUGAGGUCCUCGCCGUCUCGCCCGUGUGCAGCUGUGGUUGGCAGAGAUGAGACAUCAGCUCACAGGACUAUCCACGUGGUGGCCUGAAAGGAACAAGCCAGAGAGUUUUCUAGGUGCCCUGACUCUGCAGGACGUCUACUUGCAUAAGAGGCAUCCUGACACCCUUCCCAGGAGAGCCGUGGCGUGACAGGAGUCUCCUGGGGACCGGGGACCAGCACCAGGAAGAGAGCAGGCAGAGGUCAUAGAGACAGUGGAAGCCAAGGGUCAGAGGUUCCCGACCUCCUUCAUCCCUGCUGGAGACGUGACAAUCACCGUGUGAACCCACAAGACGAUUGGUGGGCCCCAGUGACUCAUCGCUUGGAUCUCUGUGUGAUGGGGGCCCGUGGUCCCAGUGGACGACCCUGCUGAUUCACCCAGCUCAUUCUUGUGCUGUCUACACGAGGGUCCUGGGGCAGCUGUAUCUAAGGACCCCAAAUGGGUGGCUAAAAUCAACAGACAUCCAUCCUCCCCCAGCCCUGGAGAUGGUCCUCAAAUUGUCAUGGUGUCCCAAGGCUAAGCUCUGUCCAGAGUCUCCAGGGGAGGGUCCUCCCUGCCUCUUCCAGCUUCCAGUGGCUCCGGGCCUCCGUCCCUGGGCUGGUGGCCGCCUCCCUCCCGUCUCUGCCUCUGUCUCCACGUGGCUUCUCCGCUGUGUCUGUGUCUCUCUUCUUCCAUGUCUUACAAGGACCCUGUGCCUGGGUUUAAGGCCACCCCUAUCCAGGAGGAACCUCAUCUCAGACUCUUCACUUCUAUCUGGAUAGUCAAGAAUGACCUCUUCAGCUCAAGAUCCCUCAUUAGUUACAUCUGCCAAGACCCUUUUGCCAACAGUCAUAUCCACCAAUAUUAGGGAUUAAGACGUGCUCAUAAUUUUUGAUAGACAGUAUUCCAUCCACUACACCCUACAUGAACCAGAAGGCUUGAAAGCUCAGAAA